GUGGCUCGAUCCCAGUGCGCACUCCUCCCAGUGCACUGGCCGGUUGGAGUUUUGCCAGGGAGGCCUUCCCACCUGCCUGUCUCAAUGGAAAGAAUAUGUGGAUUUGGAUUCAGGGACACCUUUAUCACCUAUGUGACUUUAGACACAAUUUGUUGAAGUGAAAGAACACUGGAACAGAAACAAGAAUACCUGAGAUGGAGACUCACCUCUUACCAUCAAUCUAGUGUUGACUUUGGGUCCAUCUUUUCUUCUGGGGUAGUAGAAAGAUCAAGAUCAUCAGAGAACGUAGGGUGCAAUAUCAGCUCUCCAGUACCAAACACGGUUCAUUAACCUCUCGGAACCUCAGGUGUCUUGGGGCAUAGUUCAUGUCUCCUGGCCCAUCUCACAGGAUUAUCAGGAGGACGAAUGAGAUAAUUCUCAGGCUAAAGAAAAUAUCACCUAAUGCUUCUGAUAUACAGAAUUGUGUGCUGCAAAUGGUUGAAAAGAUUUUAGUUUCAACACCUAAUUCCCAUCAUUCUGUGGCAAAAUAUAUCUUGAGUUCUGAUGGGCGCCAGAACAACAUCUGAAGAUUGAAUGAAACUUCUAAAGUGAUAACAAGGCCCGUCCUGUACUUCACAGAAGACUUCUGAGGGUCAAAGAGAAGAUUUAUA
rnacentral:lncRNA from 1 species